rnacentral:rRNA from 1 species
UACGUAGGGACCGAGCGUUGUCCGGAAUCAUUGGGCGUAAAGAGCGUGUAGGCGGCCACUUAAGUCCUGCGUGAAAUCCUGCGGCUCAACCGCAGGCGGUCGUGGGAAACUGGGUGGCUAGAGUGCGGGAGAGGAGAGUGGAAUUCCCAGUGUAGAGGUGAAAUUCGUAGAUAUUGGGAAGAACAUCGGUGGCGAAGGCGGCGACCUGGUCCGAUACUGACGCUGAGGCGCGAAAGCGUGGGGAGCAAACAGG